rnacentral:rRNA from 1 species
CACGUAGGGGGCGAGCGUUGUCCGGAUUUAUUGGGCGUAAAGAGCUCGUAGGCGGCUCGGUAAGUCGGGUGUGAAAUUUCGAGGCUCAACCUCGAAACGCCACUCGAUACUGCCAUGACUGGAGUCCGGUAGAGGAGUGCGGAAUUCCUGGUGUAGCGGUGAAAUGCGCAGAUAUCGGGAGGAACACCCGUAGCGAAGGCGGCACUCUGGGCCGGUACUGACGCUGAGGAGCGAA